CACAUCCCACGGGAGUCCUCGGCAGAGGACUGAGAUCGGGCUCACGCCGCCCGGACCGUUCGAACCUGUUCGGAUCAUGCCGACGUAGGAAGAAGGAGCUGACUGGCA
rnacentral:ncRNA from 2 species